rnacentral:rRNA from 1 species
GGCUCAGGACGAACGCUGGCGGCGUGCUUAACACAUGCAAGUCGAGCGGUAAGGCCUUUCGGGGUACACGAGCGGCGAACGGGUGAGUAACACGUGGGUGAUCUGCCCUGCACUUCGGGAUAAGCCUGGGAAACUGGGUCUAAUACCGGAUAUGACUUCAGGUUGCAUGACUUGGGGUGGAAAGAUUUAUCGGUGCAGGAUGGGCCCGCGGCCUAUCAGCUUGUUGGUGGGGUAAUGGCCUACCAAGGCGACGACGGGUAGCCGACCUGAGAGGGUGACCGGCCACACUGGGACUGAGACACGGCCCAGACUCCUACGGGAGGCAGCAGUGGGGAAUAUUGCACAAUGGGCGAAAGCCUGAUGCAGCGACGCCGCGUGAGGGAUGACGGCCUUCGGGUUGUAAACCUCUUUCAGCAGGGACGAAGCGCAAGUGACGGUACCUGCAGAAGAAGCACCGGCUAACUACGUGCCAGCAGCCGCGGUAAUACGUAGGGUGCAAGCGUUGUCCGGAAUUACUGGGCGUAAAGAGUUCGUAGGCGGUUUGUCGCGUCGUUUGUGAAAACCAGCAGCUCAACUGCUGGCUUGCAGGCGAUACGGGCAGACUUGAGUACUGCAGGGGAGACUGGAAUUCCUGGUGUAGCGGUGAAAUGCGCAGAUAUCAGGAGGAACACCGGUGGCGAAGGCGGGUCUCUGGGCAGUAACUGACGCUGAGGAACGAAAGCGUGGGUAGCGAACAGGAUUAGAUACCCUGGUAGUCCACGCCGUAAACGGUGGGCGCUAGGUGUGGGUUCCUUCCACGGAAUCCGUGCCGUAGCUAACGCAU